rnacentral:tRNA from 1 species
GCAUUGGUGGCUCAGUGCUAGAAUUCUCACCUCCCUUGCCGGAGACCCAGGUUCAAUUCCUGGCCCGUGCA